rnacentral:tRNA from 1 species
GGUGAGGUGUCCUGAGUGGGCUGAAGCGGAGCACGCCCGAAAGUGUGUAUGCGCGGCAACGUAUCGGGGUUCGAAUCCCCCUCACCGCCA